AACGAACGCUGGCGGCAGGCCUAACACAUGCAAGUCGAGCGAGGACUUCGGUCCUAGCGGCGGACGGGUGAGUAACGCGUGGGAACGUGCCCUUUGCUUCGGAAUAGCCCUGGGAAACUGGGAGUAAUACCGGAUGAGCCCUUUGGGGGAAAGAUUUAUCGGCGAAGGAUCGGCCCGCGUUGGAUUAGGUAGUUGGUGGGGUAAUGGCCUACCAAGCCGACGAUCCAUAGCUGGUUUGAGAGGAUGAUCAGCCACACUGGGACUGAGACACGGCCCAGACUCCUACGGGAGGCAGCAGUGGGGAAUCUUAGACAAUGGGGGAAACCCUGAGCUAGCCAUGCCGCGUGAGCGAUGAAGGCCUUAGGGUUGUAAAGCUCUUUCAGCUGGGAAGAUAAGGACGGUACCAGCAGAAGAAGCCCCGGCUAACUCCGU
rnacentral:rRNA from 1 species